rnacentral:rRNA from 1 species
UGGGGAAUUUUGGACAAUGGGCGAAAGCCUGAUCCAGCAAUGCCGCGUGUGCGAAGAAGGCCUUCGGGUUGUAAAGCACUUUUGUCCGGAAAGAAAUCCGCCUGGCUAAUACCCGGGCGGGAUGACGGUACCGGAAGAAUAAGCACCGGCUAACUACGUGCCAGCAGCCGCGGUAAUACGUAGGGUGCGAGCGUUAAUCGGAAUUACUGGGCGUAAAGCGUGCGCAGGCGGCUUUGUAAGACAGAUGUGAAAUCCCCGGGCUCAACCUGGGAACUGCAUUUGUGACUGCAAGGCUAGAGUGCGUCAGAGGGAGGUGGAAUUCCGCGUGUAGCAGUGAAAUGCGUAGAGAUGCGGAGGAACACCAAUGGCGAAGGCAGCCUCCUGGGAUGACACUGACGCUCAUGCACGAAAGCGUGGGGAGCAAACA